rnacentral:rRNA from 1 species
AAGGGAGCUUGCUCCCGGAUGUUAGCGGCGGACGGGUGAGUAACACGUGGGUAACCUGCCUGUAAGACUGGGAUAACUCCGGGAAACCGGAGCUAAUACCGGAUAGUUCCUUGAACCGCAUGGUUCAAGGAUGAAAGACGGUUUCGGCUGUCACUUACAGAUGGACCCGCGGCGCAUUAGCUAGUUGGUGGGGUAAUGGCUCACCAAGGCGACGAUGCGUAGCCGACCUGAGAGGGUGAUCGGCCACACUGGGACUGAGACACGGCCCAGACUCCUACGGGAGGCAGCAGUAGGGAAUCUUCCGCAAUGGACGAAAGUCUGACGGAGCAACGCCGCGUGAGUGAUGAAGGUUUUCGGAUCGUAAAGCUCUGUUGUUAGGGAAGAACAAGUGCGAGAGUAACUGCUCGCACCUUGACGGUACCUAACCAGAAAGCCACGGCUAACUACGUGCCAGCAGCCGCGGUAAUACGUAGGUGGCAAGCGUUGUCCGGAAUUAUUGGGCGUAAAGGGCUCGCAGGCGGUUUCUUAAGUCUGAUGUGAAAGCCCCCGGCUCAACCGGGGAGGGUCAUUGGAAACUGGGAAACUUGAGUGCAGAAGAGGAGAGUGGAAUUCCACGUGUAGCGGUGAAAUGCGUAGAGAUGUGGAGGAACACCAGUGGCGAAGGCGACUCUCUGGUCUGUAACUGACGCUGAGGAGCGAAAGCGUGGGGAGCGAACAGGAUUAGAUACCCUGGUAGUCCACGCCGUAAACGAUGAGUGCUAAGUGUUAGGGGGUUUCCGCCCCUUAGUGCUGCAGCUAACGCAUUAAGCACUCCGCCUGGGGAGUACGGUCGCAAGACUGAAACUCAAAGGAAUUUGACGGGGGCCCGCACAAGCGGUGGAGCAUGUGGUUUAA